rnacentral:misc_RNA from 1 species
UCGUAACAAGGUUUCCGUAGGUGAACCUGCGGAAGGAUCAUUACCGAGUGCGGGUCUUUAUGGCCCAACCUCCCACCCGUGACUAUUGUACCUUGUUGCUUCGGCGGGCCCGCCAGCGUUGCUGGCCGCCGGGGGGCGACUCGCCCCCGGGCCCGUGCCCGCCGGAGACCCCAACAUGAACCCUGUUCUGAAAGCUUGCAGUCUGAGUGUGAUUCUUUGCAAUCAGUUAAAACUUUCAACAAUGGAUCUCUUGGUUCCGGCAUCGAUGAAGAACGCAGCGAAAUGCGAUAACUAAUGUGAAUUGCAGAAUUCAGUGAAUCAUCGAGUCUUUGAACGCACAUUGCGCCCCCUGGUAUUCCGGGGGGCAUGCCUGUCCGAGCGUCAUUGCUGCCCUCAAGCCCGGCUUGUGUGUUGGGCCCUCGUCCCCCGGCUCCCGGGGGACGGGCCCGAAAGGCAGCGGCGGCACCGCGUCCGGUCCUCGAGCGUAUGGGGCUUCGUCUUCCGCUCCGUAGGCCCGGCCGGCGCCCGCCGACGCAUUUAUUUGCAACUUGUUUUUUUCCAGGUUGACCUCGGAUCAGGUAGGGAUACCCGCUGAACCUAAGCAUAUCA